GUUAGCAGUAAAAUUGACUUGAACCAAAACUACCAGUACCCAGUUGGAAGUGUUGUUGAGUUUACAACAGAAAAUGGCAAACAUUGGGGAGUACAUGCUGGUCAUGGACUAAUUGUUCAUUCAGUAAAAAACAGUGAAGUUGAUGCAGGAUACUUCUCACAAUAUGUUGUCCAGAUUAGCCUUAUUUCUGAUGUUGGAAAUCCAAGUGGCGAGGCCUGUACAACUUUAUUUUCAAAAGAACCAGAUCAUCCAAGCAUUGUUCUAGAUCGAGCUUUUCAGGAAGUUGGCAACAAAAUAUCUUAUAACAGCCUUGAGUUUACUCAGUAUUGUCUCUACGGCACUGAUUUAAGAAUUUUAAAGGUAUUGACUUUUU
rnacentral:sRNA from 1 species